AUGACCCUGCUGUGUGCGUGUGUUCCCGAAAAAGUUUUGAGCUAACAGCAAUUAAAUGGGAGCCUAACUCUAUAUAUGGCGUAUAUGCCUUCCUGGCAAGGACAUACAAAGUAUAUAGGAGGGCACCCACCUUUGGUAGGAGCAGUUCAAAACAAAUCGGAAUACGGCACAGUGGGGCUUUU
rnacentral:other from 1 species